CAAACAGGAUUAGAUACCCUGGUAGUCCACGCUGUAAACGAUGUCGAUUUGGAGGUUGUGCCCUUGAGGCGUGGCUUCCGGAGCUAACGCGUUAAAUCGACCGCCUGGGGAGUACGGCCGCAAGGUUAAAACUCAAAUGAAUUGACGGGGGCCCGCACAAGCGGUGGAGCAUGUGGUUUAAUUCGAUGCAACGCGAAGAACCUUACCUACUCUUGACAUCCAGAGAACUUUCCAGAGAUGGAUUGGUGCCUUCGGGAACUCUGAGACAGGUGCUGCAUGGCUGUCGUCAGCUCGUGUUGUGAAAUGUUGGGUUAAGUCCCGCAACGAGCGCAACCCUUAUCCUUUGUUGCCAGCGGUUCGGCCGGGAACUCAAAGGGGACUGCCAGUGAUAAACUGGAGGAAGGUGGGGAUGACGUCAAGUCAUCAUGGCCCUUACGAGUAGGGCUACACACGUGCUACAAUGGCGUAUACAAAGAGAAGCGACCUCGCGAGAGCAAGCGGACCUCAUAAAGUACGUCGUAGUCCGGAUUGGAGUCUGCAACUCGACUCCAUGAAGUCGGAAUCGCUAGUAAUCGUAGAUCAGAAUGCUACGGUGAAUACGUUCCCGGGCCUU
rnacentral:rRNA from 1 species